UCUUUAAAACUUGGGCAUAGUGGCUGUUCACGACAGGUUUCCAUUUUCUGCUGUCUGCCCUGGGGCCACCUCUGUGCCUCUCACUGGCUUUAUCCUCGGCCGGUUGGACCUUCUGAGGAGCCACCAGACCCUGCCCUGGCUGCCCUGGCAACAGAGGAGCAGCCCCUGGAGGAACAUGAAAGCGAAUGGAGAGCCUCUUAUUUUUAAGAUUUCUAGACAUCUGUGGGCUCUGGCAGCGUGGCCAGAGGCAGGUCAGAACAUUCUCCGGGCCAGCAAGCUGUGACCGCCACGGGGCAAACCCAGCUGGGACGGAGGCCUGGGCAGGCACCUUCCUGGGGAAUGGGGGCAGGAGCAAGCAGAAAGCCCUAUCUUCACCCACUGCACCCCGUGCCAGCCUCCUUGCUGACCUUGCCUGAAGGUCCCUCCAUCAGUCACCACAAGCAAAGAGCGGGUGCUGACAUUAAGCCUUGGAGGUUGUUUGAAAAGCUAAUCUUGCCUUAGAAGGCGCCGGGGUUGGUGUGAGAGUGUCCACCCCACUCACAUCAGAUGGUUUUUCUUAUGGGCUGAGCUGUGUGGCCCCCCCCCCCCCCAGUUUCAUGUUAGAGCACCUCACAAUGUGACUGUAUUUGGAGACAGGAUUUUUAAAGAGGUAAUUAUGUUAAAAGGAGGGUGGGCCCUAAUCCAUUAUGACAGGAGUCCUUGGACACCUGCGGACAGAAGAUCAUCUAGGGACACGGGAGAAGAUGGCCAGCUACAAGCCAAGGAGAGAGGCUUCUGAAGCAACCAACCCUGCAGACACGAUCUUGAACUUGUAAACCUCCAGGACGGCAGCGACAUAAAUUUCAGUUGUUCAGGCCUCCCAGUCCGUGAUGCUUGUCAUGGUGGCCUUAGCCCACUAACACAGUCCCUGUCCCCAGAAUGUCCUGUCUGGUGCCCCAUCUUCUCAUCUCUCUCCACUCUGGGGUCUUCCCUCCCGGGCCACCAGCCCCGGCUUUCACAGUCUCUGAGACAGUUGCAAAUGCAAGACUGGUCAGGACGUUUCUUGAACUGCAGGUGUGCUGGAACCUUCUGGGGAAUGGAGCACAAUGAGCAUGAGCAGGGGGGCUCCGGAGCGCUUCCUGACAAGAAGACAGAUUGGAUGCCUAGAGGCUCAGCAGCCAUCUUUCACCCAUGAGGAGAGAAGUCAGUUCUCUGCAGCUGAACACAGUCCUCACUGAGACACAGCUCUUCCUAUGCAAAGUCUGGUAGCUCCUUCUGAAAUCUCGGCACCUACCCCAGCCCCAGAGCAGCCUGGCCCAUGGAUGGUUGGGCCUCUUCCCUGACCCCACCGCACGGAGGUGAUGGCCCGAAGGUAUGGGAUCGCAGGUUUAGAGAAGAAUUGAUCACCUUCCAGGACACCACUCUGUUUACCUUCAUUGUGUUGACUGUGUGAUGUCUGCGCCUUUCUCCCCACACAGAUAAGGGUCUGGGUCUGCUUUGUUCUUUAAUGCCUUUCUAAAAGCCUGGAAGCAUUUCUGGCAUAGAGAAAGCAAUUGCUGACUGGAAUUAAUAGCUAUGUGUCCUAAGCACCAGCUGUUCCGGGCUGACUUGUGUCCCCCCCAGUUUGCAUGUUGAAGUCCUAACCCCAGGACCUCCGAAUGUGAACCGUAUUUUGAUAUGGGUCUUUGGAGAGGUAGUUAAGUUAAAAGGAGGUCAGUAGGGUGGACCCGGAUCCAAUAUGACUGGUGUCCUCGUAAGAAGAACUGAUUAGGGACCCAGAAUGCAGAGAAGGAAGACGAUGUGAAGACACAACAGGAAGAUGCCCAACCACGAGCCCAGGAGAGAAGCCUUAGAAGAAACCAUCCGUGCUGACAUCCUGAUCUCGGUACUCCCAGCCUCAGAAUCAUGAGACAUAAAUCUCUGUAGUUUAGGCCACCCACCACGUCCGUGGUCCUUUGCUAUGAUGGCCCUAGCACACAGAUACAGCAGCCAUACCUGACACAGUUUGGA